CUAUAGCUCAGUGGUAGAGCA
rnacentral:siRNA from 1 species